AGCAUGCCGCGGUGAAUACGUUCCCGGGCCUUGUACACACCGCCCGUCACACCACGAGAGUUUGUAACACCCGAAGUCGGUGAGGUAACCUUUUGGAGCCAGCCGCCUAAGGUGGGACAGAUGAUUGGGGUGAAGUCGUAACAAGGUAGCCGUAUCGGAAGGUGCGGCUGGAUCACCUCCUUUCUAAGGAA
rnacentral:rRNA from 1 species